CCAGGCAAUUAGAGAAAGGCUUGUGAAAACUAGGAGAUGUAAGAUUGCAGAAGGAGGUGAUAUGUUUCCCUGCAGCUGACAGCGCCACCCACAGACACGCUCCAGCAGCUCUUACGCACGGUGGAGUCAGGCAGCCUGUGGAUAAGCUAGCUUGUUCAGACCUAGAGGAUUGGAACAUCUAACUGGGACAUUGAAUAGCAAGGAAUAUGAAUGACGUGGAACCACAG
rnacentral:lncRNA from 1 species